rnacentral:rRNA from 1 species
GACGAACGCUGGCGGCGUGCUUAACACAUGCCAGUCGAACGGAAAGGCCAUGCUUGCAGGGUACUCGCGUGGCGAACGGGUGAGUAACAAGUGGGUGAUUUGCCCUGCUCUUCGGGAUAAGUAAGGGCAACAGGGCCUAGUAAAGGCCGGGUGACAUAUUUAGCGUGAUGGUUGGAAAGUUUUUUAGGGGUAGGCUGAGAUUGCGGCAUAUCAGCUUGUUGGGGGGGUAAUGGCCUACCAAGACGGCGACGGGUAGCCGGCCUGAGAGGGUGACCGGCCAUAUUGAGACUGAGAGGCGGCCCAGACACCUACUGGAGGCAGCAGGGGGAAAGAUUGCCCGAGCGGCGCAAGCCGGAUGCAGCGGGUCCGCGUAGGGGAUGACUGUCUUCGGGUGGUAGACUCCAUGCGCAAGUAACUAAGCAUGUUGUGACGGUACCUAGACAGGAAGCACCGGCUAACUACGUG